AGAGCGAACGCUGGCGGCAGGCCUAACACAUGCAAGUCGAGCGCGUGUAGCAAUACACGAGCGGCAGACGGGAGAGUAACACGUGGGAACGCGCCCUUCGGUUCGGAAUAACUCAGGGAAACUUGAGCUAAUACCGGAUACGCCCUUACGGGGGAAAGAUUUAUUGCCGAAGGAACGGCCCGCGUCCGAUUAGCUAGUUGGUGAGGUAACGGCUCACCAAGGCGACGAUCGGUAGCUGGUCUGAGAGGAUGACCAGCCUCACUGGGACUGAGACACGGCCCAGACUCCUACGGGAGGCAGCAGUGGGGAAUAUUGGACAAUGGGCGCAAGCCUGAUCCAGCCAUGCCGCGUGGAUGAUGAAGGCCUUAGGGUUGUAAAGUCCUUUUAACGGGGAAGAUAAUGACGGUACCCGUAGAAUAAGCCCGGCUAACUUCGUGCCAGCAGCCGC
rnacentral:rRNA from 1 species